rnacentral:lncRNA from 1 species
CCCUCCCCAAGGUUCCUAAACGCGGAUGUAUGUAAGGAUUACCCGCAGAGAGGCGGGUACAGCGUGGGCUGGGAAGGCCUUGGAUUCUGCAUUCGAACAACCCCAGGGGGAUUCCAGGCAGACCAGCAGCCUCCUUAAGCGCUCAUCCCCAAGAUCCCCCCACGUGGACCAGCUCUGGAGUGGAGGUGGAAAGAAGAAGGGGGGGUUACCUCUACACCUCCACACCCCGGCCCAUCCUCCUCCUUCCUCCCUCCUUUAGGGAGAUGCCCACCCCUUUCCGGGAUUGGAAGUCUGGGGGGGACACCUCCCCAGGGAGCCCCGGGCUGGAGGCAGUGUCUGGAGGCAGCAUCUCUUCAUCCGCCCACUGAGACCACUGAAGCGGCGGGUGGAGGGGUCUUGCGCUCUGCCAGCCACCCUCCUGCCCUGUGCCUGCCCUCAGGCACGUGUGCUCCGACCGCUGGGAGUCUCAGCUUGGAGGGCAGGGCAGGGGGACCUUCAACAGGUUGGAAAACAAGUAGCCAAACAGCCCAGCUCGGACUGAAGGUCGGCCUGGAGUUGGGGACGCAGGGGACUGGUCCUUGGGGUCUGGGACCACUUGUCUCAGAGGAGCUGCCGCAGCCUGAGGCUUUGACUCCAGGGCCCUGAGGCGGGCCUGCGUGUCCCCUGCAGGGAGAGCCGGAGCGCUUGGCAGGAGCACCUUGGCUGCUCGACUGGGAAAUGCAUUCUGGAGGGUGGGUAGGGGAGGCCGAUGCAGCCAACACUGCAGCCACCUGGUCUGGGAGGGUGGUGGCUAUGACCGGGUGCAGGUGGAGAGGGUGCAGGGGUGGGUACCUGUGCAGGAUUUACUGACGCGAAGUGGAGAGAAACCCGGGAUGACAGCGUCAUGCUCCAGGCGUGCGCAGAGGGGAAGUGAGAGCGCAGGACCAGUGUGGGUGUCUUGGGCGCCAUGAGGAAGUACCCGCUACUUGGGGCAGAGGACGGGCCGACGUUGCCACAGGAGGGAUUUGGGUGGGAUCAGGGGAAGGCCGUGUAUCCCAUGGUUCUAGAAGUCGGGGCCCGGGUGCACAGGGUGUCUUCUUGCCAAGUCUCUUCUGACUGCUGGGGUCUUGAGUGCGUCAGUGAGAAGCUCCCCUUUGCCCCACGUAAACUGAGUGAAGACUGAGACACAAGGCUCUGAGAGGCGGGAGCAAGGCGGCAGCGGGUCAGAGGCACGCGGGCUGAGAAGACGCCUCGGCUUGCUGCUGACUUCCCACUGCGUCAACAGCUGAGCCCUGGGGUGUCCUGCUCCCGUUUCACAGACAGACAGGUGGAGGCCUUGAGACGUCGGCGGCGUGGCCGGUGCUGCAGUGGCGCUGGGGACUGGAGGGAGCUUUCUGCCUGGGCUGCGAAUCACCAGGAGCUUUAAAAUAACGCCUUGCUGGGGCUCCGCCAGACUAGUUGCAUCGGAAUCUGUGCUUUUCACACAAAAUUGCUGGGGGUUCUGCUGCACAGGCAGGGCCGUGAACCGUGAUUUGGAGGAACUAGAGAGACGGAUUCCCCACCUGCCGGGGAGGGGAGGCCGGGGACAAUCUCAGUGGCCCCAGGUGACCUGCCAGGCUGGGCCUCUCUUGGCUCCUAGUGGCCGCAGGCCUGCAAUUUCCGCACGACCUCUCUUCUUCGGUUUGCAGCGAGAUACCUGGGAAAAGCUGGAGGACCUCUGCCCUGGAGCAAUUUGGGGCCCAGGGUGGAGCUGAUGCAGUCUCCUCUCUCUCAGGACACACACGCCGGUCCCAUCCAUGUCCUGGCUGCGGUGACCUUCACCAAGCGCCCCCAAGCCCUGGAUGCUGUGCUGUGGGGGGACACAGAGUCUGGAAGACCCCGAGCAUUGAGGCCCACUUGUAACUAAAAUCCCGAAUCCCGCUCGGCAGUGCUGCGGCACCUGCUGCAACGACCUCCCUGGGUGGGGGUGGCAGGCCCUGGUCUGUGACCUGUGACCUAGGGGAGUUCUCAGCCUCACUGGGCCGCAGAGCCACCAUCCACCAUCUUGUCCUAAACCACGUACUUUGGGAACUCAGCGCUUCUGCAGGCACCACCCCAGGGACUUCCUCCUGCCAGGCCCCUGCUGGCCCCCUGGGGUUUGGGGGCCUCCAGUGCCCCUCCACACCACCAGCCAGGCACACAGGGACUUUCGAUCUCUCUGUGAGUUUUCUCCGAGCUGGGCGGCCCGGAGCAGCUGGGUGCGUGCUGGGGAGGGCACAGGAGGGACACUGCACAGGCUUCAGCCAGGCCCCACUUCUGUCCACCCCUCGACUUUACCAGUAGCCCAGGGCGCCCCCCACAGACCCCAGAGUCAUGGCCUCUGGGGAGAGAGGUCGUCAGCUUUGAGCUUGACCCUCGGCAGAAGUCUCAUAGGACAACUGCUCAGGCCAGGAGGUGGCCGCAGGAAACGCCUGGCUUGUGACCCAGUGAACUCAGACGCUGCGGUCCCCAACACACAGUCCUUCCUCGCGCAUGAAGGGUGUGUCCCCAAUGGGACCUCCCUCACGGGGGCCGCCAGCCUGGCCCGCAGAGACUCAGGCUCAUGCAGGCGAGGUCUGCCCCACUCGCCAGCUCAGCGGGUCUGUUUCAAAGCUUGGGAGGUUCUGCUCUGUGACCCUGGGAACCUCAGCCUGCCUGGCCUCCUCGCCCUGGCCUGGAUGCAUCCCCUUCGUCCCCCGAUGGCAAGUUACAAGGGGGGGGGAGCUGCUCUUGGCCUCGGGCCAGCCUGGCUUCCGAGUACCUCCCCCUAGGCUGGAUCUAGUCCCUGUGGGCUGGGAGUCAGAGCAGACCUGGCCUCCAUCAGCUUCCUGCUCCCUCGGAGAAGCUGCUCACCCUCCCGAGCUCUGGUUUUCUCCAGCUGCGUGGUGGAAAGGAUGCUCCCGGGCAGCGACUAAGGGAUGAGAUGCCCGAGAGUGUGCGGAAGCUCACAGCACAGUCCCGGCACAGAUCCUUGUAGAUUCACAUGGUAUUGUAAGAAGUAACACACAGAGAUCCCGUGUGCCCUCUGCCCAGCGUCC